CCAUGCUGCAUAACGCUCUUUGAGGUUGAACAGCACAGCGGGCUCGUGGAGGAACGUCAACAUGGCCAUGUCCUCGAGCUUGUCAAAUUUUGGAGGAUUCUGUUGCAGAACCUGGGAGUCUUUGACAGUCACCGUCUAUGGAACGUGAAGAAGUUAACACUGGCCCCAUCUCGACUUGUGAUGGAAGCCUUCACAAACUCUUCCGCCGCAUCAGGGACAAAACAUUCCUUCUUUAUGUCGAAGGGACGAGUGGAAGCCUCCAUGCGUUCCUUCUCCGACUUCCGCAGGUACGGGGCAGCUAUCCCAUACAUAGACAUCUCUGCGUCUCCCAUGGCUGCACUGGAAACGGAGAGAAUGAGGACCAUUAUGGAUGGGAAUCACAAGCUCUUUUUUUUAUAUAUACACUGUAAUUAUGAAACCAUUUUUAAAAUGUGGAACAACUCCAUCCGGCCAUCCAUCAUUUUCAUCAAUACUGAAUUGAUUAUUUUGUGAAUUAACAGCAUAACCAUUUCAAAUUUGUGUGGAAUUUACCAGUACGUUCAACUCAGAGGAACUCAGAAGACUUGAGAGUAUGAAAACGAAGCCCUUCAGCUAGAAAGAAAGCAAAGAGAAAAGAUAUCAGGGUUUUAUUAUCAUCUCUAAAUGUUUGUUUGAUUCAUGUGUAAGAUACUUACACCAGUUGUCACAAAUCCUAAAGUAUAUCUAAUUACUAUUUUGUUAUAAGAUGAGGCACAUUGCAGGAAAAUUGAUGAAUAAUUUAAAGUUGAGCAGACUUACAAGAUGCAGGUGAGGAGGAAGCAGCUGUGCAACCUGCUGGGAUCACAUUUAUAAAGCCUGCUAACCCUGCCUUAAUAGGCCACCACCCUAAUUUCCAAAUACACACACAACAGCUCCCCAUCACUUUCAUCACUUGUGACAUGGCUCUCUGCAGCUUUCAUGUUUGGCUGCCCUCUGUGCCUGUUGGUCUGGAGCUGUGGACCCCUCCUGCCCAAAUAAUGUGACUUAUUGGGAACAUCGCCAGGAACUUUCUCCCACAUAACUCAUCUAUGAGUCACAUAAAGCACAGACUCCCCACUAUCUUUGUUUUGACCACGUUUGUCAGUCAACUGUUCUGCGAAAUCAUUUUUCCAAGUGAGACUAAGAGAGAAUAGAAAUGCCUGUGAAGAUGCCUAUGAGAACAGAUAUACUGUGUGUGUGUGUGUGUGUGUGUGUCUGUGCAUGUAUAUGUGUAUAUAUAUAUAUAUAUAUAUAUACAGUGGGUACGGAAAAUAUUCAGACCCCCUUAAAUUUGUCACUCUUUUCUUUAUAUUGCAGCCAUUUGUUAAAAUCAUUUAAUUUAAUUUUUCUGCUCAUUAAUGUACACUCAGCACCCCAUAUUGACGGAAGAAAACAGAAUUGAUUCAUUGAUCAUUUUCCGAAGUUAUUGUAGGAUGUCACAGCAUCAUCUAUAACUGUUAUUUCGGGUGACUAUUUUGUAAAUUGUAUAUAGAUGUAUCUUUUCUGGAAGUGUUUGGUCAAUAAAAACAUUAAAAAAUGA